AUGGCCUGCGAGUUCAUCUUGCGCCUCGAUGAAGCCCAGGAAAGGCGCCAGCUCUCACCGGCCGAACGCGACCUGCGCAAGAGCCUCAAGCUCAGGUUGCUGGGGCUGGCAGCGAUCAAGCGCUGCAGGAAGAGGCAAGCCUCUAGGCUCACCUGGCUGCGCUCCGGCGACGCCCCAACAAAGUUCUUCAUGGCAAAAAUCUGCUCGCGAAGUAGAAAGAGCUUCAUACAUUCUCUGAAGAUCAAUGAGACAGUGGUCACGGCGCACAGCGACAAAGAAGCAGCCAUUCACAACCACUUUGACAGCAUGCUAGGCUCUACAAAGCAGCGAUCAACUACAAUAAACUGGGGGCAAAUUCACAUGCCAACAAUCCAAGGCGGU
rnacentral:rRNA from 1 species